rnacentral:rRNA from 1 species
CCUGGCGGCCGUAGCGCGGUGGUCCCACCUGACCCCAUGCCGAACUCAGAAGUGAAACGCCGUAGCGCCGAUGGUAGUGUGGGGUCUCCCCAUGCGAGAGUAGGGAACUGCCAGA